AGUCAAGCAACUAAGCGCAUACGGUGGAUGCCUUGGCAGUCAGAGGCGAUGAAAGACGUGGAAGCCUGCGAUAAGGUUCGGGGAGCUGGCAAACGAGCUGUGAUCCGGACAUUUCUGAAUGGGGAAACCCACCCGAUUUCGAUCGGGUAUCUUGCACUGAAUACAUAGGUGUAAGAGGCGAACCGGGGGAACUGAAACAUCUAAGUACCCCGAGGAAAAGAAAUCAACCGAGAUUCCCUAAGUAGCGGCGAGCGAACGGGGACUAGCCCUUAAGCUAGACAACUGAUAGGAGAAGGCUCUGGAAAGUGCCGCCAUAGUGGGUGAUAGCCCCGUAUCCGAAAUCUGAGUCUAGUGAAAUCGAGUAGGUCGGCGCACGAGAAACGUUGACUGAAUAUGGGGGGACCAUCCUCCAAGGCUAAAUACUCCUGACUGACCGAUAGUGAACCAGUACCGUGAGGGAAAGGCGAAAAGAACCCCUGUGAGGGGAGUGAAAUAGAUCCUGAAACCGUAUGCGUACAAGCAGUCGGAGCAGACUUGUUCUGUGACGGCGUACCUUUUGUAUAAUGGGUCAGCGACUUAUGUUUAGUGGCGAGGUUAACCGUUUAGGGGAGCCGUAGGGAAACCGAGUCUGAAUAGGGCGAAUCAGUCGCUAGGCAUAGACCCGAAACCGGGCGAUCUAUCCAUGAGCAGGUUGAAGGUUGAGUAACAUCAACUGGAGGACCGAACCCACUGUCGUUGAAAAGCCAGGGGAUGACUUGUGGAUCGGAGUGAAAGGCUAAUCAAGCCCGGAGAUAGCUGGUUCUCCCCGAAAGCUAUUUAGGUAGCGCCUCGGACGAAUACCACAGGGGGUAGAGCACUGUUUGGGCUAGGGGGUCAUCUCGACUUACCAACCCCAGGCAAACUCCGAAUACCUGUGAGUACUAUCCGGGAGACACACGAUGGGUGCUAACGUCCGUCGUGAAGAGGGAAACAACCCAGACCGCCAGCUAAGGUCCCAAAAUACCAGUUAAGUGGGAAACGAUGUGGGAAGGCUCAGACAGCUAGGAGGUUGGCUUAGAAGCAGCCAUCCUUUAAAGAAAGCGUAAUAGCUCACUAGUCGAGUCGGCCUGCGCGGAAGAUGUAACGGGGCUCAAACUGGUUACCGAAGCUGCGGCUGCAUACUCNNNNNNNNNNNNNNNNNNNNNNNNNNNNNNNNNNNNNNNNNNNNNNNNNNNNNNNNNNNNNNNNNNNNNNNNNNNNNNNNNNNNNNNNNNNNNNUACGUUGUAUGCGGGGUAGGGGAGCGUUCUGUAAGCCUGCGAAGGUGAGUUGAGAAGCUUGCUGGAGGUAUCAGAAGUGCGAAUGCUGACAUGAGUAACGACAAUGGGAGUGAAAAACUCCCACGCCGGAAGACCAAGGGUUCCUGCGCAACGCUAAUCGGCGCAGGGUGAGUCGGCCCCUAAGGCGAGACCGAAAGGUGUAGUCGAUGGGAAACGGGUUAAUAUUCCCGUACCUUGGAUAGCUGCGAUGGAGAGACGGAGAAGGCUAGGUGAGCCGGGCGACGGUUGCCCCGGUUUAAGCAUGUAGGGAGUGGACUUAGGCAAAUCCGGGUCCACAAUCCCGAGACGCGACGACGAGUGCCCAAGGGCGCGAAGUCAUUGAUGCCCUGCUUCCAGGAAAAUCUUCUAAGCUUCAGGCUAUUCGGGACCGUACCCCAAACCGACACAGGUGGUCAGGUAGAGAAUACCAAGGCGCUUGAGAGAACUCGGGUAAAGGAACUAGGCAAAAUGGUGCCGUAACUUCGGGAGAAGGCACGCCGGUGUGUACGUGAUACCCCUGCGGGUGGAGCGGAAGCCGGUCGAAGAUACCAGGCCCCUGCGACUGUUUAUUAAAAACACAGCACUGUGCAAACACGAAAGUGGACGUAUACGGUGUGACGCCUGCCCGGUGCCGGAAGGUUAAUUGAUGGGGUUAGCAUUCGUGCGAAGCUCUUGAUCGAAGCCCCGGUAAACGGCGGCCGUAACUAUAACGGUCCUAAGGUAGCGAAAUUCCUUGUCGGGUAAGUUCCGACCUGCACGAAUGGCGUAACGAUGGGGGCGCUGUCUCUACCCGAGACUCAGUGAAAUUGAAAUCGCCGUGAAGAUGCGGUGUAUCCGCGGCUAGACGGAAAGACCCCGUGAACCUUUACUAUAGCUUCACAGUGAACUUUGAAUAUGCUUGUGUAGGAUAGCUGGGAGGCUUUGAAACCAGGACGCCAGUUCUGGUGGAGCCAACCUUGAAAUACCAGCCUGGCAUGUUUGAGGUUCUAACUCUGGCCCCUUAUCGGGGUUGAGGACACUGUGUGGUGGGUAGUUUGACUGGGGCGGUCUCCUCCCAAAGCGUAACGGAGGAGCACAAAGGUGGGCUAAGUACGGUCGGACAUCGUACGGUUAGUGUAAUGGCACAAGCCCGCUUGACUGCGAGACAGACACGUCGAGCAGGUACGAAAGUAGGUCAUAGUGAUCCGGUGGUUCUGUAUGGAAGGGCCAUCGCUCAACGGAUAAAAGGUACUCCGGGGAUAACAGGCUGAUACCGCCCAAGAGUUCACAUCGACGGCGGUGUUUGGCACCUCGAUGUCGGCUCAUCACAUCCUGGGGCUGAAGCCGGUCCCAAGGGUAUGGCUGUUCGCCAUUUAAAGUGGUACGCGAGCUGGGUUUAGAACGUCGUGAGACAGUUCGGUCCCUAUCUGCCGUGGACGUUGGAGAUUUGAGGAAAGCUGCUCCUAGUACGAGAGGACCGGAGUGGACGAACCGCUGGUGUUCCAGUUGUUUCGCCAGAAGCACUGCUGGGUAGCUAUGUUCGGAUAGGAUAACCGCUGAAAGCAUCUAAGCGGGAAGCCCCUUCCAAGAUGAGAUCUCCCUGAGGCCUUGAGCCUCCUGAAGAGCCGUUCAAGACCAGGACGUUGAUAGGCUGGGUGUGUAAGCGCUGCGAGGCGUUGAGCUAACCAGUACUAAUUGCUCGUGCGGCUUGACUAU
rnacentral:rRNA from 1 species